rnacentral:rRNA from 1 species
UACGUAGGGUGCGAGCGUUGUCCGGAAUUAUUGGGCGUAAAGAGCGUGUAGGCGGUUUGGUAGGUCCGCUGUGAAAACUCGAGGCUCAACCUCGAGACGCCGGUGGAAACCAUCAGGCUAGAGUCCGGAAGAGGAGAGUGGAACUCCUGGUGUAGCGGUGAAAUGCGCAGAUAUCAGGAAGAACACCCGUGGCUAAGGCGGCUCUCUAGUACGGUACUGACGCUGAGACGCGAAAGCGUGGGGAGCGAACAGG